rnacentral:rRNA from 1 species
UACGUAGGGCGCAAGCGUUGUCCGGAAUUAUUGGGCGUAAAGAGCUCGUAGGCGGCUUGUCACGUCGAUUGUGAAAGCCCGAGGCUUAACCUCGGGUCUGCAGUCGAUACGGGCUAGCUAGAGUGUGGUAGGGGAGAUCGGAAUUCCUGGUGUAGCGGUGAAAUGCGCAGAUAUCAGGAGGAACACCGGUGGCGAAAGGCGCUCAUCUGGCCCAAUACUGACGCUGAGGCGCGAAAGCUAGGGGAGCAAACGGG